UCACUGUGAAAUUUUGCAUGUCUUGUCUUAGGCAGAAAAUGUGUGAAGAUACCAGUUUAUUCUGCUCUUACCUUGCGGUCCUUCUCGAGUUCUGCAGGUCAGAAGUCCAAAAUCACGAAGUCCUAAAGUCAAGAUGUUGGCAGCCCUGGUUCUUUCUGGAAACUCAGAGGGGAGAAUCAGCUCCCUUGCUUUUCUCCCAGCUUCUAGGGACCUCGGUCAAUCUCUGCCUGUUUUCAGAUUGCCUCCUCUGACCCUGACGCUCCUGCCUCCCUCUUAGGAAGCCUUUUGUGAUGCCAUUGGACUCACCUGGAUAGCCCAGGCGCCACUCCCCACCGCAAGGCCCUUCGCUUAAUCAGACCUGCAAAGACCUUGUACCACACAAAACAGCGCUGGCAGGGCAUGAGGAUGUGGGUGUAAUUGGGGAAUUAUUAUUUAGUCUUCCACGCCAUCGUCCUUUACAAAUAAAUAAAUUAGGACAAAGAAACUAA